AAUGACUCUCGGCAAUGGAUAUCUCGGCUCUUGCAUCGAUGAAGAACGUAGUGAAAUGCGAUACUUGGUGUGAAUUGCAGAAUCUCGUGAACCAUUGAGUCUUUGAACGCAAGUUGUGCCCGAGGCUUUGUGGCCGAGGGCACGCCUGCUUGGGCGUCAUGGC
rnacentral:rRNA from 2 species